rnacentral:lncRNA from 1 species
CACCUGUUGGGCGAAAUCUCUGGCAGGCGUUUUCCCCAGAGAGUCGGCUCUGUGGUGAAACCACGCUGGGUGUAUUUUGCAGUGUUGGCCCUUUUCCCUGUCAGAUUCAAGGGCAUCGUUCUCAGAUCUUCUGAGGACCCGGUGAUGCUCCUGGAGGCGGCCAGACCUUCUUCCAAAGUGUACAGCCCAGAGGAAUUUCUUAGAUGCACACCAGUGGUGCUCAGCUGCCAGCAUCCAUCGCAGUGAUCACUGCCGUGUUCUGCCAGAGUCUGUGGCCCCGGAGGCGUCUGCUCCAGGGAAAGAUCGCAGCGGGGACUCUGUCCACAGAGAGCUAGAGGAGGGCUGGUUUCCCUGACACGUCGGUUCUCCACUGGACCCAGUAGAAACCACUGAUCUCCAGCAUGUCCUGCUGCGGCUGGUCGUAAAGGAGAAGUGUGAUGACAUCCACGCUCUCUACAGGUUGGAGCUGAGUCUGGGAGGCUUUCGGGCUAACUUUUCAUUGUUCGCUCGAGUUCAUGGAUGGAAGAGACAGCAGCUGCAGGAUCUGGGCUGCUGACUGCAGAAAAAAGCCCCUCUCGGAGGAAGGGCCCGCGGAAAGAAUGGACGCCUGCAAAUUGCCAGGGUGGUGAGUCCUGGGUCUGCCUGAAGGUAUGUGCAUUGGCGCCCAGAGGCCGCUAAGAAUAAGCUCAUAGUCACGUGUGCAUGGAAAUGACAGGUUAAAGAAGGCAGUGCUAAUCGAGAGAGGUGUGGUACAUGAAAACGCCUUCAAAAAUUAAAGACUCGGCGGACUCCUUAAAUUAGGGAAUAAUGCUGAGUCUUCCAGAGACUCACCUUGAGUGAAACCACUAAAGCACAUGCGGGGCUCAAACAUCCCACCCGGCGGAUUGUCCUACAGUCACCUCACACACAGAUUGUCCUGCCGUCAACACAGUGGGUGACAGAAGAGGACUUCACUGCCUCGUCUGUCAUCUGAGCCCCAGAAGUUCUGAGGCCCAGCAAGGGGGGGCUGCUGGCUUGAAGCUGGGCAGCUCCACUGGUCAACUGUGUUGCCUCCUGAACUUCCUGAGCUACUCUGAGCUGUGGUCUUGGAGAUAACGG